rnacentral:lncRNA from 1 species
AUGCCUUCAGUAUUCCAGUUCUUUAAGAAACCUCUAAUAUUUUCCUCCUGCUGGCAGUUCGUUUUAAUUGGUACUGUGCUCUUCUUGUGCAGCUUCUGUGACUGGGGGGGCUCACAGCAUUGCUAUAUGGUUAGCCCCGCCUAUUUUCUGUCUCUUCCUGUGUGCAACCUGCCUGACUCAUGCCUUUCUGUCUGUUGCUGUGUGGUGAAGUUAAUAGUAACUUACCAUGGGUGUAUUAAGAAUAAGACAUUUGUUAGCUAUGGUGUCACAACCUCUGUGCUAGGAAGAGGGCUACCCAGUCUAACCAGCAAGAGAACUGUACAUGCUAAAUGGUCUUUGUUAGUCUGACUCCAAAUAUAAAAGUUUGAAGGGAACCAUA